rnacentral:tRNA from 1 species
AAGCCCCAGCAGGUGUUACCCUGCAUCUUGAGGUUUGCAACCUCACGUGUUACACCCUAGGGCC